AAAAAAAAAAAAACUUCUGUUGGAGCAUCUCCAUUCCUUUGUCCUCAGCACUUCGAAUGGGAUUGGCUUAUGCCUGUCGGAGACUCCCCUCUUGGCCACAGCACAUGGUUCAGGGACAGGCAGUUGCCAGUCAGAGCCAGUAAGAUACCCAGAGAAUUUUGCUGGAGCUGCCAGGAAUGAAAUACCUCCUGCUUGUGUGGAAAUUGACUGAAUAGACUCACACCUGCUGGACAUACAUGAGCAUGGCUCUAGCUCUGGGAAAUGACUGUCCAUCGGGCAACCGUGAAGACAGGAACAGGUCGGAGAAUGGAGCUAUUUGCAACAAGAAAAGAGAGCCGGGAAAUGUGGGCGGGAAUCAGAGAUUAAAUCAGUGGGUAACCAAGACUGGCUGCCAUGGAGUUCUGCUCCGUUCCUAAUUCCCCUGGAAGAAAGAGAGGCGUGGAAUUGGCAGAGCCCUGGCAGCAUGAUGAGGAAACAGACCCCAUUCUGCAGUAAUUAGAAAACGUCAUGAUACGAUGCCAUGUGAAGCACACACCAGCACCUGCCAAAACGCUCAACCUGGAUCAAAUUACGGGGAAACAUCAGAUGGGUCCAGAUUACGCAGGACACUCUCCAUGACGACUGGCCUGGAAUCCUCCAAAACAGCAAUGCUGUGAAAGACAUAAAUAAAACAGGAAAAAAGGUAGGAGGGCUGGGCGCAGCGGCUCACGCCUGUAAUCCCAGCACUUUGGGAGGCUGAGGCAGGUGGAUCACGAGGUCAGGAGUUCAAGACCAGCCUGGCCAAAAUGGUGAAACUCUGUCUCUACUAAAAAUACAAAAAAUUAGCCAGGUGUGUUGGCACAUGCCUGUAAUCCCAGCUACUCAGGAGGCUGAGGGAAGAGAAUCACUUGAACCCAGGAGGCGGAGGUUUCAGUGAGCCGAGACUGAGCCAUUGCACUCCAGCCUGGGCAACAGAGUGAGACUCCAUCUCAAAAAACAACAACAAAAACCAGGCACAGUAGCUCACGCCUGUCAUCCCAGCACUUUGGGAGGCCAAGGUGGGCAGAUCACGAGGUCAGGAGUUCGAGACCAGCCUGACAAACAUGGUGAAACUCCAUCUCUACUAAAAAUACAAAAAUUAGCCCAGUGUGGUGGCGCACACCUGUAGUCCCAGCUACUUGGGAGGCUGAGGCAGGAGAAUUGCUUGAACCCAGGAGACAGAGGCUGCAGUGAGCCAAGACUGUGCCACUGCACUCCAGCCUGGCCAACAGAGCAAGACUCUGUCUCAAAAAAAAAAAAAAAAAAGGUCC